rnacentral:rRNA from 1 species
GACGAACGCUGGCGGCGUGCUUAACACAUGCAAGUCGAACGAUGAAGCCUUCGGGUGGAUUAGUGGCGAACGGGUGAGUAACACGUGGGUGAUCUGCCCUGCACUUUGGGAUAAGCCUGGGAAACUGGGUCUAAUACCGAAUAGGACUCCGCGCUUCAUGGCGUGGGGUGGAAAGCUUUUGCGGUGUGGGAUGGGCCCGCGGCCUAUCAGCUUGUUGGUGGGGUAAUGGCCUACCAAGGCGACGACGGGUAGCCGGCCUGAGAGGGUGACCGGCCACACUGGGACUGAGAUACGGCCCAGACUCCUACGGGAGGCAGCAGUGGGGAAUAUUGCACAAUGGGCGCAAGCCUGAUGCAGCGACGCCGCGUGAGGGAUGACGGCCUCGGU